rnacentral:rRNA from 1 species
CCAGACUCCUACGGGAGGCAGCAGUGGGGGAUAUUGCACAAUGGGGGGAACCCUGAUGCAGCGACGCCGCGUGGGUGAAGAAGCGCCUCGGCGCGUAAAGCCCUGUCAGCAGGGAAGAAAAUGACGGUACCUGAAGAAGAAGCCCCGGCUAACUACGUGCCAGCAGCCGCGGUAAUACGUAGGGGGCAAGCGUUAUCCGGAAUUACUGGGUGUAAAGGGAGCGCAGACGGCAGUGCAAGUCUGGAGUGAAAGCCCGUGGCUUAACCACGGGACUGCUCUGAAAACUGUGCAGCUAGAGUGCAGGAGAGGCAGGCGGAAUUCCUAGUGUAGCGGUGAAAUGCGUAGAUAUUAGGAGGAACACCGGUGGCGAAGGCGGCC